rnacentral:rRNA from 1 species
UACGUAGGGGGCAAGCGUUGUCCGGAAUUAUUGGGCGUAAAGCGCGCGCAGGCGGUCUUCUAAGUCUGAUGUGAAAGCCCACGGCUUAACCGUGGAGGGUCAUUGGAAACUGGAGGACUUGAGUACAGAAGAGGAGAGUGGAAUUCUACGUGGAGCGGUGAAAUGCGUAGAUAUGUGGAGGAACACCAGUGGCGAAGGCGACUCUCUGGUCUGUAACUGACGCUGAGGUGCGAAAGCGUGGGGAGCAAACA